rnacentral:lncRNA from 1 species
CUUUGAACAUUAGAAAAUGUUAAUGUACCAUUGGUACCAUAGGUCAUAGAAAAUCACCACGUCGAAAAUAAAUAAGUCAUAAAUUUAAACUUCAAAACGAACGACCAAUUUCCGUAAAUUAUGUACAUAUACAUUCACUAAAAGAAGGAUGUGCCGUAGAUACCUGGAAAUAUUGUUCUUCCUUCAAUUAGGGUAAAACCAAGCAAUAUGAGUAUGACAAUAAUCACCUUGCCGAACCCUUUCAUCUUUCCUAAUUGGAUGUAUAUUAAAGCGAUCAAAUGGACUUUGCGUAUUCGCAGAUAUUUAUAGAAUAAGGUCAAACCUCGCGAAAGACUUUGAU